CUAGUAGUGUCCUAAUGGAUAAGGAAUCAGCCUUCGAAGCUGGAUUGUGGGUUAAAGUCCCAUUUUGUUGU
rnacentral:tRNA from 1 species